CGGGGUGUAGCUCAGCCUGGUAGAGCGCGGCUUUUGGGAAGCUGAGGUCCCGGGUUCGAUUCCCGGCACCCCGACCG
rnacentral:tRNA from 1 species